CGUGAUGCGUAGCCCGAAUCGGGUGAUGUUGGUGAUCCUGUACUGCCGAGAAAAGCCUCUAGCGAUGUGCAUGUACGGCCCGUACCCAUAACCGACACAGGUGGUCAGGUAGAAAAUACUAAGGCGAGCGGGUGAACUGUGGUUAAGGAACUCGGCAAAAUGCCCCCGUAACUUCGGGAGAAGGGGGACCACAACCGGUGACACACAUUCGUGUUGAGCUGGUUGGGGUCGCAGAGAAGAGAGGGGAGCGACUGUUUAUCAAAAACACAGGUCCGUGCGAAGACGGUUAAGUUGAUGUAUACGGACUGACGCCUGCCCGGUGCUGGAAGGUUAAGAGGAGUGCUUAGCGUAAGCGAAGGUAUGAAUUGAAGCCCCAGUAAACGGCGGCCGUAACUAUAACGGUCCUAAGGUAGCGAAAUUCCUUGUCAGGUAAGUUCUGACCCGCACGAAAGGCGUAACGAUUUGGGCACUGUCUCAACGAGAGACUCGGUGAAAUUGUAGUACCAGUGAAGAUGCUGGUUACCCGCGACAGGACGGAAAGACCCCAUGGAGCUUUACUGCAGGUUGAUAUUGAGUGUCUGUGUGACAUGUACAGGAUAGGUAGGAGCCAUUGAAGCCGGAACGCUAGUUUCGGUGGAGGCGCUGGUGGGAUACUACCCUUGUGACAUGGCCACUCUAACCCGCGACCGUAAUCCGGUCGGGAGACAGUGUCAGUCGGGCAGUUUGACUGGGGCGGUCGCCUCCUAAAAUGUAACGGAGGC
rnacentral:rRNA from 1 species